rnacentral:tRNA from 1 species
GAGGGUAUAGCUCAGUGAUAGAGUAUGUGCUUAGCAGGCACAAGGGCCAAGGUUCAGACCCCAGUGCCUCCA